rnacentral:rRNA from 1 species
UACGGGGGGAGCAAGCGUUGUUCGGAUUUACUGGGCGUAAAGGGCGCGUAGGCGGCCAGCACAAGUCAGUUGUGAAAUCUCCGGGCUUAACUCGGAAAGGUCAACUGAUACUGUGCGACUAGAGUGCGGAAGGGGCAGCUGGAAUUCUCGGUGUAGCGGUGAAAUGCGUAGAUAUCGAGAGGAACACCUGCGGCGAAGGCGGGUUGCUGGGCCGACACUGACGCUGAUGCGCGAAAGCCAGGGGAGCGAACGGG